GCAGCGGUGGUUCAGUGGUAGAAUUCUCACCUUCCAUGUGGGAUAUCCAGGUUCCAUUUCUGGCCAAUGUA
rnacentral:tRNA from 1 species